ACUAACCAAAUCGAAUCCACAUUGCAGCAUUAAAUCCAUUAGCAUCCUACUGAGCAAAAAUCUGGACAGAACAUAGUAGUGAUCCGCAUUAUCAC